UACGGAGAGGGCUAGCGUUGUUCGGAAUUACUGGGCGUAAAGGGCGCGCAGGCGGCUCAUUUUGUCAGGCGUGAAAGCCCCGGGCUUAACCUGGGAACUGCGUUUGAUACGGAUGGGCUAGAGUUCGGGAGAGGAGAGUGGAAUUCCCAGUGUAGAGGUGAAAUUCGUAGAUAUUGGGAAGAACACCGGUGGCGAAGGCGGCUCUCUGGACCGAUACUGACGCUGAGGCGCGAAAGCGUGGGGAGCAAACAGG
rnacentral:rRNA from 1 species